rnacentral:rRNA from 1 species
UACGAAGGGGGCUAGCGUUGUUCGGAUUUACUGGGCGUAAAGCGCACGUAGGCGGAUUGUUAAGUCAGGGGUGAAAUCCCGGAGCUCAACUCCGGAACUGCCUUUGAUACUGGCAAUCUUGAGACUGGAAGAGGUUAGUGGAAUUCCCAGUGUAGAGGUGAAAUUCGUAGAUAUUCGCAAGAACACCAGUGGCGAAGGCGGCUCACUGGCCCGGUACUGACGCUGAGGUGCGAAAGCGUGGGGAGCAAACAGG